rnacentral:rRNA from 1 species
GACGAACGCUGGCGGCGUGCCUAAUACAUGCAAGUAGAACGCUGAAGAGAGGAGCUUGCUCUUCUUGGAUGAGUUGCGAACGGGUGAGUAACGCGUAGGUAACCUGCCUUGUAGCGGGGGAUAACUAUUGGAAACGAUAGCUAAUACCGCAUAACAAUGGAUGACACAUGUCAUUUAUUUGAAAGGGGCAAUUGCUCCACUACAAGAUGGACCUGCGUUGUAUUAGCUAGUAGGUGAGGUAAUGGCUCACCUAGGCGACGAUACAUAGCCGAACUGAGAGGGGGCUCGGCCCCACUGGGACUGGGACCCGGCCCAGACUCCUUCGGGAGGCAGCAGUAGGGAAUCUUCGGCAAUGGGGGCAAACCUGACCGAGAAACGCCGCGUGAGUGCAGAAGGUUUUCGGAUCGUAAAGCUCUGUUGUAAGUCAAGAACGGGUGUGAGAGUGGAAAGUUCACACUGUGACGGUAGCUUACCAGAAAGGGACGGCUAACUACGUG